rnacentral:Y_RNA from 1 species
GGCUGGUCUGAAGGUAAUGAGUUAUCUCACUUGAUUGUUCGCCGUCAGUUACAGAUUGAACUUCUUGUUCUACUACUUUCCUCCCUUCCCACUACUGCACUUGACUAGUCUAAA